UUUACAAAGCUAUGGAGACUCUAGAACCAGCGACCUAAGGAUCACCGUUAAUGCAUCUACAGUCCUCCGCUCUGCCAACUGAGCUAUCGA